CCUACGGGGGGCAGCAGUGAGGAAUAUUGGUCAAUGGGCGCGAGCCUGAACCAGCCAAGUAGCGUGAAGGAUGACUGCCCUACGGGUUGUAAACUUCUUUUAUAAAGGAAUAAAGUGAGGCACGUGUGCCUUUUUGUAUGUACCUUAUGAAUAAGGAUCGGCUAACUCCGUGUCAGCAGCCGCGGUAAUACGGAGGAUCCGAGCGUUAUCCGGAUUUAUUGGGUUUAAAGGGAGCGGCGAGAGGUUGGUAAGUUAUUUGUUAAAGUUUGCGGCUUAACCGUAAAAUUGCAAUUGAUACUGGCUAUCUUGAGGGCAAGUGAGGAGGGCGGAAUUCGUGGUGUAGCGGUGAAAUGCGUAGAUA
rnacentral:rRNA from 1 species